GCCUCUAAGCAUCAGGUAACAUCAAAUCGUACCCCAAACCGACACAGGUGGUCAGGUAGAGAAUACCAAGGCGCUUGAGAGAACUCGGGUGAAGGAACUAGGCAAAAUGGUGCCGUAACUUCGGGAGAAGGCACGCUGACACGUAGGUGAAGUGAUUUACUCAUGGAGCUGAAGUCAGUCGAAGAUACCAGCUGGCUGCAACUGUUUAUUAAAAACACAGCACUGUGCAAACACGAAAGUGGACGUAUACGGUGUGACGCCUGCCCGGUGCCGGAAGGUUAAUUGAUGGGGUCAGCGCAAGCGAAGCUCCUGAUCGAAGCCCCGGUAAACGGCGGCCGUAACUAUAACGGUCCUAAGGUAGCGAAAUUCCUUGUCGGGUAAGUUCCGACCUGCACGAAUGGCGUAAUGAUGGCCAGGCUGUCUCCACCCGAGACUCAGUGAAAUUGAACUCGCUGUGAAGAUGCAGUGUACCCGCGGCAAGACGGAAAGACCCCGUGAACCUUUACUAUAGCUUGACACUGAACAUUGAGCCUUGAUGUGUAGGAUAGGUGGGAGGCUUUGAAGUGUGGACGCCAGUCUGCAUGGAGCCGACCUUGAAAUACCACCCUUUAAUGUUUGAUGUUCUAACGUGGACCCGUAAUCCGGGUUGCGGACAGUGUCUGGUGGGUAGUUUGACUGGGGCGGUCUCCUCCUAAAGAGUAACGGAGGAGCACGAAGGUUGGCUAAUCCUGGUCGGACAUCAGGAGGUUAGUGCAAUGGCAUAAGCCAGCUUGACUGCGAGCGUGACGGCGCGAGCAGGUGCGAAAGCAGGUCAUAGUGAUCCGGUGGUUCUGAAUGGAAGGGCCAUCGCUCAACGGAUAAAAGGUACUCCGGGGAUAACAGGCUGAUACCGCCCAAGAGUUCAUAUCGACGGCGGUGUUUGGCACCUCGAUGUCGGCUCAUCACAUCCUGGGGCUGAAGUAGGUCCCAAGGGUAUGGCUGUUCGCCAUUUAAAGUGGUACGCGAGCUGGGUUUAGAACGUCGUGAGACAGUUCGGUCCCUAUCUGCCGUGGGCGCUGGAGAACUGAGGGGGGCUGCUCCUAGUACGAGAGGACCGGAGUGGACGCAUCACUGGUGUUCGGGUUGUCAUGCCAAUGGCACUGCCCGGUAGCUAAAUGCGGAAGAGAUAAGUGCUGAAAGCAUCUAAGCACGAAACUUGCCCCGAGAUGAGUUCUCCCUGAGACUUAGAGUCUCCUGAAGGAACGUUGAAGACGACGACGUUGAUAGGCCGGGUGUGUAAGCGCAGCGAUGCGUUGAGCUAACCGGUACUAAUGAACCGUGAGGCUUAACCUUACAACGCCGAAG
rnacentral:rRNA from 1 species